rnacentral:lncRNA from 1 species
GGAAUGAGCACCACAAGGUUCAUCUGCCUGAUGAUUUGCAACAACCAGAACUCACACAUGCACAGAGCCAGAGUGGAAGCCAACGGAGGACUGUGGCCAUCAUCAGACCAGACCAAAGAGUUUGAUUAACAGAGUUUUUCAGAUGAGGUCUCUGUUUGCAGUCAGAUUAAUCUGUAAUUUUGCAAAGAAGGAGCAGCGAGGAAAUCAUAUCUACUUUCGUGUGUUUUGGGAAGACAAUGACACUGAUGCAAGUAAGUGGUGUAUCUCAGACUUAUGUAAUUACAGACCUUGUAUGCAAACCAAAAGUUAAAUCUGAUUAAAAUGUACACACAAAAAUGUUGUAACUGUAUGAAGGUUACUAGGCAAAUUUAUUUAGACUGUGUCCUGUAACAGUAGGGGUUGUUUUUCUGAAAAACUGUUCUUCGUAAAAAAUGCCAACGUUGCCAAAGUUGAGAUGAACUUUGAAACUGUGAC